GUGGGGAAUAUUGGACAAUGGGGGGAACCCUGAUCCAGCCAUGCCGCAUGUGUGAAGAAGGCCUUUUGGUUGUAAAGCACUUUAAGCGAGGAGGAGGCUACCGAGAUUAAUACUCUUGGAUAGUGGACGUUACUCGCAGAAUAAGCACCGGCUAACUCUGUGCCAGCAGCCGCGGUAAUACAGAGGGUGCAAGCGUUAAUCGGAUUUACUGGGCGUAAAGCGCGCGUAGGUGGCCAAUUAAGUCAAAUGUGAGAUCCCCGAGCUGAACUUGGGAAUUGCAUUCGAUACUGGUUGGCUAGAGUAUGGGAGAGGAUGGUAGAAUUCCAGGUGUAGCGGUGAAAUGCGUAGAGAUCUGGAGGAAUACCGAUGGCGAAGGCAGCCAUCUGGCCUAAUACUGACACUGAGGUGCGAAAGCAUGGGGAGCAAACAGGAUUAGAUACCCUUGUAGUCC
rnacentral:rRNA from 1 species